AAUUUUUCACAAUGGAUCACUUGGCUCUCGCAUCGAUGAAGAACGCAGCGAAAUGCGAUAAGUAAUGUGAAUUGCAGAAUUCAGUGAAUCAUCGAAUCUUUGAACGCACCUUGCGCUCCUUGGUAUUCCGAGGAGCAUGCCUGUUUGAGUGUCAUUAAAUUCUCAACCUUACCAGCUUUUGAGAGCUUUUGGUAAUGGCUUGGAUGUGGGGGUCAUUUUGCCGGCUUCGUCAAAGAGGUCUGCUCCCCUUAAAUGCAUUAGCCGGUGCCCUGCGUGGACCGUCUAUUGGUGUGAUAAUUAUCUACGCCGUGGACGUCUGCUUUCAAUGGGUUGCACUGCUUCUAACCGUCCGUUCACUUGGACAAUUAAUGACAAUUUGACCUCAAAUCAGGUAGGACUACCCGCUGAACUUAAGCAUAUCAAUAAGCGGAGGCU
rnacentral:misc_RNA from 1 species